rnacentral:rRNA from 1 species
AGCAAUGGUGAGACCACCAUGACACAUUGAACAUGCCCAAUCUCAACUGUUUCCAGAAGUUAAGCAAGGUUGGACCGGUUUACGUUGGAAAUGGGAGACCACCAAGGAUCUCUUGACAGCUGCUGCUC